rnacentral:rRNA from 1 species
AGAGUUUGAUCAUGGCUCAGGAUGAACGCUGGCGGCGUGCUUAACACAUGCAAGUCGAGCGAAGCACUCUGCUUUGAUUCUUUCGGGAUGAAGAGUAUUGUGACUGAGCGGCGGACGGGUGAGUAACGCGUGGGUAACCUGCCUCAUACAGGGGGAUAACAGUUAGAAAUGGCUGCUAAUACCGCAUAAGACCACAGCACCGCAUGGUGCAGGGGUAAAAACUCCGGGGGUAUGAGAUGGAUCCGCGUCUGAUUAGCUAGUUGGUGGGGUAACGGCCUACCAAGGCGACGAUCAGUAGCCGACCUGAGAGGGUGACCGGCCACAUUGGGACUGAGACACGGCCCAAACUCCUACGGGAGGCAGCAGUGGGGAAUAUUGCACAAUGGGGGAAACCCUGAUGUAGCGACGCCGCGUGAGCGAAGAAGUAUUUCGGUAUGUAAAGCUCUAUCAGCAGGGAAGAAAAUGACGGUACCUGACUAAGAAGCCCCGGCUAACUACGUGCCAGCAGCCGCGGUAAUACGUAGGGGGCAAGCGUUAUCCGGAUCUACUGGGUGUAAAGGGAGCGCAGGCGGGAAGACAAGUUGGAAGUGAAAUCCAUGGGCUCAACCCAUGAACUGCUUUCAAAACUGUUUUUCUUGAGUAGUGCAGAGGUAGGCGGAAUUCCCGGUGUAGCGGUGGAAUGCGUAGAUAUCGGGAGGAACACCAGUGGCGAAGGCGGCCUACUGGGCACCAACUGACGCUGAGGCUCGAAAGUGUGGGUAGCAAACAGGAUUAGAUACCCUGGUAGUCCACACCGUAAACGAUGAUUACUAGGUGUUGGAGGAUUGAUCCCUUCAGUGCCGCAGUUAACACAAUAAGUAAUCCACCUGGGGAGUACGACCGCAAGGUUGAAACUCAAAGGAAUUGACGGGGGCCCGCACAAGCAGUGGAGUAUGUGGUUUAAUUCGACGCAACGCGAAGAACCUUACCAAGUCUUGACAUCCUGCGACGGACAUAGAAAUAUGUUUUUCCUUCGGGACGCAGAGACAGGUGGUGCAUGGUUGUCGUCAGCUCGUGUCGUGAGAUGUUGGGUUAAGUCCCGCAACGAGCGCAACCCUUAUGGUCAGUUACUACGCAAGAGGACUCUGGCCAGACUGCCGUUGACAAAACGGAGGAAGGUGGGGAUGACGUCAAAUCAUCAUGCCCUUUAUGACUUGGGCUACACACGUACUACAAUGGCGUUAAACAAAGAGAAGCAAGACCGCGAGGUGGAGCAAAACUCAGAAACAACGUCCCAGUUCGGACUGCAGGCUGCAACUCGCCUGCACGAAGUCGGAAUUGCUAGUAAUCGUGGAUCAGCAUGCCACGGUGAAUACGUUCCCGGACCUUGUACACACCGCCCGUCACACCAUGAGAGCCGGGGGGACCCGAAGUCGGUAGUCUAACCGCAAGGAGGACGCCGCCGAAGGUAAAACUGGUGAUUGGGGUGAAGUCGUAACAAGGUA